CGCACCCUCUCCGCCACCAAGACACCCAAAAGGAAGGUCAGCUCAGCUUAGCCAAAGGGUGGUGAAGGAAGAGCCCAAGAGAAGACCUGCAAGGUUGUCAGCUAACCCUAAAGUGGAAAGGAAGCCCACAAAGGCAGCAGGAAAGGAUAAAUCUUCAGACAAAAAAGAGCAGACAAAAGGGAAAACAGGAUGAGGUGGCUAACCAGGAAGCCAAAGAAGCUUUACCUGCAGAAAAUGAAGAACUAAAAAAAUGAGGAGAGUCCAGGCUCUGAUGAAGCCCAGAGAAGGAAGCUGACUC
rnacentral:lncRNA from 1 species